rnacentral:rRNA from 1 species
CAGUGAAAGUAGGUACAAGUUUUACAGAUUUUACUACAAACAAAUUUAAACGAGGAUACGGUACAAUUUUACUAAUUUAAGUAUUGAUAAAUUGGCAUUGAGCCUUAAAUUAUUUGAAAUAUACAUUAACCCCAUAUUUUUACGGAUCAAAUUGUACCACCGGAAUGAAACGUACAAAUUGUUGAGAUUUUAGACCAAAUCCCGUCUUGUCAUGGUUUAGAUAUUAUACGAGUACUCCUCAAAGGCCUUAACACCAAACAACAAGGCCGGAGUAAAUUUGAACGGAUCUAUCCAUCAAAAGAAAACGAAGUGGGAGAACGGUACAAAUUGUUGUAAAUUAUAACAACCCAUGUAUUUGUUCUAACUUGAUUUACUUAGUGCACCACAAGGCAGUUAUACGUUGAGCAACGUAUAACUCGAGGUGAAUUGAACAUCACAACAAACACGUGAAACGGUACGGUACGAAGUAAUUUGGCCUGUACGUAGUAUGAACUAACACGUAGUACGGUACAGAUACACCACCAACAAAUGAUACAACACACGAAGAAAGGCCACAACGAAGAAGCCCAACCAAGGCCAUUGCAGCGCAAACACUCCUUGGCAAGCUGAAGCAGGCAAACAGAAGAAGUACCUGAGCAAGAAGAAGGAACGCCCUAAAGUCGAACGUCCACGGCUACUCAGGCACGUCUACUGCGUUGGUUCAAGUUCCUCCUCGAGCUACUUCUAGAACAUGAAACACAACAAAGCAAGAUCAACUAGUCAUCACCUCGGGUCAACCCCAGCUAGCCCCUGGAAAACAGCGUAAACCCCAAGAAGAAAAUAAAACCGAGGCAUCAGCCCGGAACUAACAUAGACUAACUACAUUACGAAAUAAGUACAUUAACCCACUUCACCGC